GAGGAAGAAAUUUUGACGGUACCUCACGAGAAAGCACCGGCCUAAUUCUGUGCCAGCAGCCGCGGUAAGACAGAAGUGCAAGCGGUUACUCGGAAUUACUGGGCGUAAAGCGUCUGUAGGUGUCCACCCACGUCUGGUGGUAAAUUGCGGGGCUCAACCCCGUAUCUGUACUGGAAACGAGGAGGAUCGAGUUAUUCAGAGGCAUCUGGAAUGUCGUGUGUAGGGGUAAAAUCCGUAGAUACACGAUGGAACGCCAAAAGCGAAGGCAGGAUGCUAGGAAUAUACUGACACUCAGAGACGAAAGCGUGGGGAGCAAAGGGGAUUAGAUACCCCCGUAGUCCACGCCCUCAACGAUGCGAGCUCGGUGUGGGACCUUCAAUCUGGUCCCGUGCCUUAAGCUUACGCGGUAAGCUCGCCGCCUGGGAAGUACGGCCGCAAGGCUAAAACUCAAAGGAAUAGACGGGGACCCACACAAGCGGUGGAGCAUGGGGUUUAAUUCGAUGACAAGCGAAGCACCUCACCCAGACUUGACAUGGUAGGAAUCCUGAAGAAAUUCGGGAGUGCCGCAAGGGGCCCACACACAGGCGCUGCACGGUCGUCGUCAGCUCGUGCCUUGAGGUGUACUGUUCAGUCAGCCAACGAGCGCAACCCUGAUCCUAUGUUGUUUUUUCAUAGGAGACUGCCGCCUCCAAGGCGGAGGAAGGUCAGGAUGACGUCAGAUCAGCGUGGCCCUUAUGUCUGGGGCAACACCCGUGCUACAAUGGCCGGUACAAACGGCAGCGAACCCGCGAGGGGGAGCAAAUCCGAUAAAACCGGUCUCAGUUCGGAUUGAAGUCUGCAACUCGACUUCGUGAAGUUGGAAUCGCUAGUAACCGUGAAUCAGCUAUGUCACGGUGAAUAUGUUCCUGGGUCUUGUACUCACCGCCCGUCAAGUCAUGAAAGGCAGGAGCACCUGAAGCACCUUUACUCGCAAGAGGAGGUACCACGGGAGACUG
rnacentral:rRNA from 1 species